rnacentral:lncRNA from 1 species
CACUAAGGCGCAAGGCAGCUGCACAUCCACGGCCAGCCUCGUUGUCUUCAGGGAUUUGUUCAAAGUUCAUUCUGAAUUGUAAGGUAACCACUGCAGAACACGAGCCUUUCCUGGGUAUGUGUGGUUAUUUCUGCCCUUCACGGUCCCACUCAAGUCCUGCCUCCCUCAGGGAGACCUCCCAGACCUCACCAAGCCGUGGGCACGUGGACCAGAAGCCGUGGACCCCAGAGGCUCAUUUAGGGAUCUGCUUUCUGAACCCAGGUCCUAACAUCUGCACUGCAGCGAGCAUUUCUGGUGCCUCAAGUGAGUCACUCCAACUUCCAGGUCAGUGCCCGGCACACGAGGGGUGCUUUUAUUAGAGGUAUUAGGUGAGGCCUCCCUGCAGGCAGUCCACACCCUCAGCUCCCAGAUUUCCACCAGGGUCACCCAGUGGGAAAGGGCAGCUGCCUCUGCAUCCCCAUGAGCCCAGCUCGCCCUCUCUAAGGGACAGGGACCACCAGCCUCACAGUGGUGGGUGGCAACACCUGGUCAUUUUCUGUCAUUCUCCUGUCAUGAUCAGCUCACUGAGAGGCGAUGGAGCACUGAGUGCCAGCAUCUUCCAGCACCAGAGGAGCUGACUCUGAAUAGACAGCUCGGCAGCGGCCUCAGCACAGAGCAGGGGUAAGGGUGGGGCCCACCUGCACUUCCUGGCCGCCUGUUCCCUAAGUGCAUAUUGAUUGAAUAGCGCUGCCUCAGAACUAGGCUGCCUGAGUUUGAAUUAGGCGCUGGUGUUAAUUAGCUGUGUGAUCUUGGGUAAGUGACUCAAUAUAUCUGUGCAAGGGGGAUAACCAUAUGGUCUUCCUUAUGGGGUUCUCAUGAUGAUUAGUUCAUAAUAUAAAGUUACCCCCCCACCCCAUGCAGAGAUGAGGCGGAGGGGCUGCCACCAACCAGGAUGACGGAGGAAAGGGGGAGAUGCUGAGCAGGCUGAGGGUUUCGUGGCUGUCCCUGCUGCUGGCUUCACAGUCUUCUUCCCGCUGUGCCACUGCCCAUGCCAAAACCACAUUCACCAUCUAUCCAUGCAGCAGGGUGACCUGCAGUGCAUGGAACCCCUGGACCCCUCGGCCUCCCAGGGCCAGCCUGCCCCAUCCCUCAGCCCGGUCACUGUUCCCAGGCUUUAGGCCCUGUAACUCUGGCCUGUCCAGCUCAUUUCCAGCCUACAGACCUCUCUUGGGUCCCCAAACCCUUACUUAGGCCCCAGCCAAGGCAGAGCCUGGCUGUCUUGGACCCUGCCUCUCCCUGCCCAGUGUCCAAUAAUCCACAGCACUCCCUUCCACAGCCAUGGGCCCACCCUUGACAAGGGCUAUGUGCCCUGGAACCCGUGCCUCUCACCUUCACGCCAAACUCCUCCUUUUCCUAGACCCCUGAUUCCCAGCGGGCCGAGGUCAAGCUGCCUUGCCUAGUUUCUGUCUCCUGUGGCCCCUCGAUGCCAGCUCCUCCCUGGCCAAUCCCCAUUACCAAAGUCCCCCAUUCUAACUUCCAGUGCCCAGGCCCCAGUCCAGGCAUCUCCGGGUCCAUGUACUAACUGCCAUGCCCAUGUGACCCGAGUACCAACCUCUGCCCACUCCACCUGGAGUUAAACCUCCUGGCUGUGCUUCGGCCAGGCCAAGGGCCCUGAUGUGCUGUCCCCAGCCCUUAGUGGCCCACAGCCCCUGGGUUUCCCUGCGUUUUGUGCCCCCUGCUCACAUCCUGCUCCGUGAGGCCUGCUGGCUCUGAUCUCCAGCCCAGGCCUGGCCCCGCAUCAGGGCCCCUUUUCUUCCCAGGCUCAUGGCUCCCACUGGUCCCAACUCAGGAGUGAGAUUCCUCAGAAUCCUGUGGCCCAGACUCCUUUCUUCUCCCACUCAGGCAGCCCCCUCAGUCCUGACUCCUUGGGGUCCCCUUGGUCCCCACCUCUUCGCUUCCUUUGAUGCCUCCUUGCCUCUCAGCUUAACCUCUUUACUUUGCUGCCCUCCAGGAAUUCUUGAUUGUCCCUGACCCCAGCUCAGUCCCCUCCCCGAACCCCACCAAGGCAACCCCCCAGCACUCCUGCCUGCCCUCCCGCAUCAGCCCUGAUCCUAGUGCCCAAAUCACUCUAAGUCCCCUUGCCUUCUGCUAUAGCUGUAUCUGGUGUUCUAGAAUCUUCUGGUCUCUAGUUUUUCUUCCCUCCAGCCUGGCCCCUCAGGUCCCUGCAAGGCAGGACCUGAGCUCCCUAGGCAGGGGUCCCCUCUGCAUGUACUCCUGCCCCCUCAUUUCUGAGCCCAGGCCCUCAGGCAGGCCCCUCCUGUUGGAACAUCUCAGGUUCAGCCUGUGACCCUGGACCCCCAGCGUCUGCCAGGCCCACGGGAGCUCCAAGCUCUGGAGACAGAUCCAGACUUCCCCCAGGUCCCCUUUCACCCCAAAGCCACAUUGUUUCCAUUUAGAGCAGUGGCUGUCAACAGGGUGACACUGGGUGACAUCUGAUAGGUUUUGGUUGUUGCUCAACACCCUACAGUGCCCAGGACAGUCCCUAUCACAGGCAGUGGUUGGCCACAAAUGCCCACAGUGGCGAGGUGGGGAGACCCUGGGUUUGAGUGACAGCCUAAACCCAAGGCCCCAGGCUCCCGGGGGUGGGGGCGGAAGGCCAGGAACCCCUCAUGUCCUGAGUAAAGUUUACAUGUGGUUAGGCUUUGCCAGUGCCGUCCAGUAGUACUUUUUGUGAUGAUGGACGAGUUCUGUAUCUUCAUUGUCCCGUACAGGAGCCACCAGCCACAGGCAGCCACUGAGCCCUUGGCAUGUAACCCGGUAACCCAUGCAACAGAAGACCUGAGCGUCCAGUGUUGCUAGCUUGAAGUAACUUCAGUGGUGUUCCCCAGCGUUUUUCUCAUCCCCCUCCCUUCCCUUCCCCUACAGCUUUCUUCCUCUUUCCCCUCCUUCUGAGUCUUUCGUCCCCAGUCCUGGGAACCUUUUUUCUGACUUGGUGUUUUCUCCUGAAUGCCUCCUUCCUGGCCCCCUAAUCAGAAAUGCAGAAGCCACCUGCCCCACACAGGGGGCCACUUUCCCUGCAUCUGGCACUCACCAGGACAGUCAUAGAACUGGCCUUGGGUGCUUGGGGAGAGUGGAGAGGUCUGGGGGGCAUCCACUGGCCUCAGCCUCAGAGCUUCUCAUCAGUAACCCAGGAGGCAAAGGCCCAGCUCAAGAUUAGCCCAGGCCACUGUAUCUGUGCCAAGACCUACAGCUGUCCCUGCAGGGCGUGCAUCUCUGCAGCCCAGGCUAUCACAAUGGUGUCCCUUUUGGUGGGGAUGUGAGGCCUGCUGCUGCCUGGGAAGAAGCUGACAGGAUUGUUGGUGCUGUGGGGAGAAGCUGGUGUAACUGAGACCCAUGAGGGAGGCCCUUUGUGGGUCUGUGGCUGGGAGGAGCUCUGGGGAAGAUGGGCCUUGAGAAAUCCCAGCUUAGCACCUUUGACAGUUGCUCCACUGAGUCACCCUAGACUGCAAUCUCACAGAUGUUCUAACCACCCUCUCCCUGGGGAGCCCUUGGGGGUGCUGCAAGCCCAGUCCUCACUCACUGGCUUUGUGCUUCUCUUCCCGACUUCCUUUUUUUGCUCCUGUUGAGAAAUGUGGGUCCAGGGCUGCGUGCUCCAGUGUGCGGAAGGAAGGGCAGCGUGCUCUUUGGACUGAGCUGGCUCAAGGGAAGCUGGGUCUGAGGGGAGACUGACCUCGACCCUUCUUAAAUGAAACACCUUUUCCCUGCGUCUCAGUCACCGUUACCUGGCCUGAUCACUGUGUGCCACACCCCAUCACAUCCAUCCCCACAAGAAUGCCAGGAGGAGGGGUCAUUGGCCUUUUUGUCAGCACAAACCUCUGGAGGCCCAGCUCCCAAGACCCGCCAGGCACACCUGCCAGAGUGCCUUAACUUGGGAUGUCUGCAAACCUCUGUCCAUGGCCGAACCCACCCCACUGCCUGUUACUGUAAAUAAAGGUCUAUUAGCAUGCCACCAUGCCCCUCCUCCGAUGCAUACAGUGCCCAGCUCAGCACCUGGUGCAAGUAAGCACAAUCUGGCUUCCAGCCAUCACUGCUGUUGCUACUAACACAAAUAUUAGGCCCCUUCUAGAAUGCAAAGAUAACCCAGGGCUGCUCGUUCUGUGUCCAGAUCACAGAGUUUUUCUUUUUAUCCUUAUCAACUUUAUUGAGGGAUAAUUUACAGGCAAUAAAUCAUAUCCAUUUAAAGUUAUUGUCAAGCUUUUAAAGAAUUAAAGUUCGUCUUCUUCAGAAGCUUACCGAGGACUACAGGCUGUGGCGUAGAGCCCUGGAGCAGCCUCCACUGAGGUUCUGUAUUUCAGGUCACAGUUGACAUAUAGGUGGGAGGUCCAGUACGUGCAAAGUCACAUGAAAGCUUGGGUGUCAGAGUGCAUCAGGUUAUGGAUUCAAUUACAGAGCAAUAAUCACUGACCCUGUCAGAUGUUAUCUUACGUGUAGGAAAAGGUAAGACCAGGGCCAUUUAUCUGCAAAGAAUAUAGUGACUCAGGCAAGAGUCCGGAGAGGGUGUGUGCUCCAUCCUGUUUUGUCUUCAGAGCAUCUUUCUGGGGAGCUGCACAUCGUUAUAGAGACAGGCACUUUGUGAAAUUCUGCUGCCAAGCACAAAUGAGCAAACGUGGUUUCCUAUGUUUACUACUUUGUCUCACAAAGCGCACAUUCACAGUGCAUUAUUAAGGGGCCCUGGCAGCACCGCCACAGUGUAUCUCUGCUCCCUCUUAAAGUUCCCCGUGCCCCUUGGCAGACAGGCCCCUCUCACUCCUGGGCCCAGGCUACCAUUGACCAGCUUUUUGCCACUAGAGGUUAAUUUUCAUUCUAUGUGAUUGGAAUCAUACAGAUGUUCUUGUAUCUGACUUAUUUCACUCCACAUAGUGAUUCUGAGAUUCAAAUGUUGUGUGUAUCAGUUGUUUGUUCCUUUUUAUUCCUGAAUGGGAGAGGGGAUGUCAAGCUGCACAGUUUUAUUCCUGGGCUACAGUGGAGAUGGAUGGUUCUACCGUCUCUCUGAAACACCAUCUGCAGUUUCUUCAAAAUCUACCUACACAUCUUCCAUCCCAUCCUGAGGAGUCCCCGAGGGUUGAGAAAUGCAUGACCCCACACCUGGCUGACGUGUACAACUGGCGGAGUUAGUUUUUCCUGUUGACACUGGCCACGGGCGCCUCAGCAUGCACAGCCCUGGCCUUGCUCCUCUAGGCAUGCUGGGGGCUUGUCCACACGUGUGGUCUACGGAUGGAGGAGAGUGGCCUCUGGCCCAUGCGUGCCAUGCACUGGACCUUCCCAGGGAAUCAAGUUACAUGAUGUUUCCUUGAGGAGCUACAUACAAAGUAAAAAACUGAAAUCAAGAAUAUCAGUCAUUUCUGAAUAUGCCAAUUCGCCCAUGGUGCAGUUUGUACAGCUUAAUCACUGCAGAACAGUUUUGAGGAUAAAAUUAACCAAAAACCUAAGUAGACAAAAUAUUCAAAUUUUUGGAAUCUGUCACAAAAAUCCACAGAUGACUUAUUUUCCAUUGUAGCUUAUAAUGUCCAAAAGCCUUUCUAGUGACUUAUAACUGAUGGUGAGCUCCCACUCUGUGGCAGCUGUGGGACACUGGUCUAAGGACUACACCCUGAUGCCUGGUGAGUUACAGAGGCCAUGAGAAGAUGUCAGUGAACCUGAAAGCCAGGGAGAGGCUGUGUUCCUGCCGGACUGUGGGGCUCCUUCGCUCCCCUGCUGUGGCCCUUGGUCAGGCCACUUUCCCUCUCUGGGUGUCAGUGGCUUCAUCUACGAAGUGAUAAAAAACUAAUGCAAACCAGAGCAAAAUGAGAUAACACGGGGACCCCUAAUGUCCCAGGGAGAUGGUGAACUGAAGCACCGCGUGCGGUGAGUUGUUGCUGUCUCCACCCCUCAAGGAGACCGCAGCUUUGCAGACGUGUGGGUCCCAUCAUCGGCCCCAUUCUACAUUCCUCCCUGUGUCCCUGCCAUCGCCAGGUGACUUUGCUGGGCCCUCCCACCGCCCUAACUCCCAAUCCCAAGAUCUUCAGUGAACGUGACGCGCACAGCAGAGGCCCAGAAUGUAUGUGUGCAUGUGGUGACAGCUAAGCCUGCCUGGAGCAGAGCCCCAACCCUGCAGCAGCUCAAACAAGCUGAGAUCAGCAAAUGCACAUCUGACUCUCAGACAUGGGGGCAAUAAUAAUAAAUGCUGUUUGAGUUUUGGGGUCUUUGGCUACACAGCAAUUGCUCACCAAUAUGACAGGGUUGUAUGACGUGGCCAUGCGGAACUGUAUUAUAGGGGAAGUGGUGAACAGUGUGAUGAGAUUUUAAAGAGGAACAGAUUUACCACUGACUUUAGAAAUCAUGGAGGAGAAAUCUCUGGGGUUGCCCUUGAAGGGUGUGUGGAGGAGGACAUGGGAGAAGGGGGAAGAACCGUGGCAUCCUGGCUAAACAGACACAGGGCAGAGGGAGCCUCUGUGUUGGGACUAAGAUGGGGAUGUCGGGGAAGGGACAUGGCAAGCUGACUGUUGGUGGGGAAGGCACGUGUGGGGCUAUAUUGUGAUCAUUGUGAUGUAUAUACAUUGUCACCUCCUACUGUCUCUGAGUCCGGCUGUCCCAAGCCCCCGCCGUGGAAUCCAGCAGUGUUCGGGCCAACUCUCAGAACCUUGGCUUUGUCUGGGGGACCCCUCCCAGACCACUUCACCUGCAAGCCCUCC